rnacentral:lncRNA from 1 species
CUGGAGACUAUCAAGGAGGAAUGGGCAGAUUUCUAAGGAGUGUCAAAAGUUGAUACAAAUUCAAACUUACAAAAUAUUCAAUGGUUGAGGCUGCAUUUUAUGCCUUCUCUCUUGGAAAGUUUUCUUUCCCUCCCUAUAUUCUUCUUCCUUUUGGACUGCAACUGACUGGGAUUAUCACAUUGUGAUUUUCUUGGAUUGCCUGAGCGCUCAGAACUAUGGAAACUGGAAAUGUGGGACUACAUGAUCUUUGGUACUAAAGAACUAUUACAGAAAAUGCAAACUACUCUUCCCAUUCUCCCCAGCAGUAGAAGGAGGAGACAGGACAAGCCCGAACAGGCCUAGAUGGUCAGGCCUAGAGACAGGAGUUCCAAUUUGACCUCAGACAUUUUCUAACUGUGUAACUCUGGACAAAUCACUUAAUUCUCAUUGCCUAGGCCUUACCACUCUUCUGCCUUAUAACCAAUAUACGGUAUUGUUUCCAAGACAAAAGGUAAGGGAUUAAAAAAAUAGUCAUGGCAGGGGUGGCACAGCUAGUUGUCUCAGUGGAGAGGAAGUCAGGACUAAAGGUGGAGCUCAUGG